ensembl:snRNA
GUGCUGUGUGAAAGGAGAGAAGGUUAGCGCUCCCCUUGACAAAGAUGGAAGAGGCCCUUGGGCCUGACAACAUGCCUACGGUUAAGGCUUUGCACCUACCUCGUGGCAUCUAACCAUUGUUUUUA